AAAGUUUGACAAAAAAAAUUCAGCAUUUUUAAAAGUCAGAAACUAUUUUUAAUCAAUUAAAAAUGAAGAAAAAUAACCUAAUUGAACUAAAAUCUCAAAUAAAUCUUAAAUCAAUUAAUAAAUUGAUGAGAAUAUUUUUCAUAGAUAAUUAAAAAUGAAGAAAAAUAACCUAAUUGAACUAAAAUCUCAAAUAAAUCUUAAAUCAAUUAAUAAAUUGAUGAGAAUAUUUUUCAUAGAUCCAUCAUCAUUCAAAGAAGUUAGAAAAAUAUUUUUUGUAUUUUUUGAAUAUCAAAAACUAUUUAAAAUGAAU
rnacentral:lncRNA from 1 species